rnacentral:rRNA from 1 species
AAGCGGAGGAAAAGAAACCAACAGGGAUUGCCUCAGUAACGGCGAGUGAAGCGGCAAAAGCUCAAAUUUUAAAGCUGGCAUCUUCGGUGUCCGCGUUGUAAUUUUGUGAGGCAUCUCCGGGUAGGGCGCCGGCCUAAGUUCCUUGGAACAGGACGUCACAGAGGGUGAGAAUCCCGUGCUUGGCUGGCUGUCCCCGUCCAUGUGAGGUGUCUUCGACGAGUCGAGUUGUUUGGGAAUGCAGCUCAAAAUGGGUGGUAAAUUUCAUCUAAAGCUAAAUAUUGGUGGGAGACCGAUAGCGCACAAGUAGAGUGAUCGAAAGAUGAAAAGCACUUUGAAAAUAGAGUUAAAAAGUACGUGAAAUUGUUGAAAGGGAAGCGCUUGAGAUCAGACUUCGGUAGGGGGUGAUCAGCCGUCCUUCUGGGCGGUGCACUUGCCCCUCUCCGGGCCAGCAUCGGUUGAGGCGGCGGGAUAAAGGUCCCGGGAAUGUGGCUCCUUCGCGGGAGUGUUAUAGCCCGGGUGAAUGCCGCCAGUCUCGACCGAGGACCGCACCCGCAAGGGUUAGGAUGCUUGGCAUAAUGGUCUUCAGCGACCCGUCUUG